GAGCAAUGUUGGGGACAGUUGGAUACAUGGUGGGGGGAAUAUGAAGAGAUUCACUGAAUCUCAAGCAGCAAGAUUUGAGAUAGUCUGAAGGGGAGAGCAGCAGCCACAGUGGGGUGGGGACAACAGCUGGCAUCCAGAGGUGGGCAGAGAGAGCUAAUGGUUUAUGGGAUAGCAAUCUCUUAAAGCUAAAAGCACUGAAAGAAGAAACAGAGGGAGAGAAGAUUUUAUUAAGAGGGAGAACUGAGGCCAGAGUGUUGGAAGUUGCUGGUUAACCUGAAGAAACAGCUAGUCGCUGGUCAGAGAUAAGAGUACUAAGAAUUGAAGUGUGUGGGGGAGAGAAACCUGACCAUGAAGAAUACUUCUGUAAAGUUCUAUGUGAUUUAACAGGGGUGUAUAUAAAAAAGUUCAUUGUCCAAUGGUUUAGUACAGAGCUGGGAACUAGAGCAAGUCUCUAAAUAACCUCAUUUAACCUCUUUAAAACAACAGCAACAUCUUUAAGCUAUUAUCAAGCUAUGCGUUGUUAUAAAACCAAUUUGCAAAUAACCCUUAUUCCAUCAAUUUAAGUAAGCGUUAAGAAAUUAUAAUAUUUUGGUUUGAUUUCCAAAAAAUAAUAAUAGUUUCCUGGUCCCUUUGUCCAAAGCCUAUACUCAGCUGUCAUAUGCAAUAAAAGGAUAACAAAGGCAUUUUUUUUUAAUGGUGGCAGUAGGAAUAUAAUAGCCCCAAGGAACGGUCUUCUCCUAACUAUUGUAUUAGUGGUGUUUUGUGUUGUAUUGUUGUACAUCACUCUGAUUUUUUAUAUAUAUGGUGGUAUAGAACUGCUUAAAUAAAUAAAUAAGGAGUAGGUGAAUACAGUGGUACCUCUGGAUGCGAAUGGGAUCCGUUCCGGAGCCCCGUUCGCAUCCUGAAGCGAAUGCAACCCGUGUCUGCGCGUGCGUGGGUUGCGAUUUGCAGCUUCUGCGCAUGCGCGUGAUGUCAUUUUGAGCAUCUGUGCAUGCGCGAGUGGCAAAACCCAGAUGUAACGCGCUCUGUUACUUCCGGGUCACCGUGGAGCGUAACCUGAAAACGCUCAACCUGAAGCACAUUUAACCCGAGGUAUGACUGUAUUCCAGUUUUAGUCUCUCUCUCUCUCUCUCUCUCUCUCUCUCUCUCUCUCAUUCUCUCAUUUUUCCAGUCUGAAAUUCAAUUCUCUACAUUUUGCAAUUUCCCGUUUCAGAAUCUCAUAUGAGAGAAUGAGUACCUGAAGAUGUCUGUGUGGCCUGAAAUAAUUCACGGCUACCCUAGUAUGCCUAAGAUAGACCAACAUUUGCUUGGCCCUGAAGGAACAUGUUUCAUAUUCCUAGAGAAGUGCUUCAGUUUCCUUCCUUGAAAAAUUCCAGAGCAGGCUAAAGAACAUUGCACUAAUCUAACCCCAUUUAUUAAAAUGAAAGCAUCAUUCAGUUGAUUCUGAGCAUUGAAUGGACGACU